rnacentral:rRNA from 1 species
AUACCGGAAAACUGCGAAUGGCUCGGUAAAUCAGUUAUAGUUUAUUUGAUAGUGCAGCUACUCGGAUAACCGUAGUAACACUAGAGCUAAUACGUGCGUAAAUCCCGACUCUUGGAAGGGACGUAUUUAUUAGAUUUAUGGCUAACCGGGCUUGCCCGACCAGCGGUGAAUCAUGGUAACUUGACGGAUUGCAUGGCCUUCGUGCCGGCGACGUGUCAUUCAAGUUUCUGCCCCAUCAGGUUUCGACUGUAGUGUAUUGGACUACAGUGCCUAUAACGGGUAGCGGAGGAUUAGGGUUCGAUUCCGGAGAGGGAGCCUGAGAAACGGCUACCACAUCCAAGGAAGGCAGCAGGCGCGCAAAUUACCCAAUCCCAAUUCAGGGAGGUAGUGACAAGAAAUAGCAAUGCGGAGCUUCGUGUUCUGCAAUUGGAAUGAGAACAAUUUAAACCACUUAACGAGUAUCAAUUGGAGGGCAAGUCUGGUGCCAGCAGCCGCGUAAUUCCAGCUCCAAUAGCGUAUAUGUAAGUUGUUGCGAUUAAAAAGCCCGUAGCUGAACCUCGGGUAGCCCUGACGGUCCGCCCAAGGUGAGUACUGUCGUGGGCUGCCUUKCUGCUGGGUGCCGUAUCCGGCGUUUACUCGCCGCGAACGGAGCCCAGCAAGGUKACUUUGAGUAAAAUAGAGUCUUCAAAGCAAGCAUGUGCUCUGAAUACACUAGCAUGGGAUAACACGACAUGACCGAUGGUCUAUCUUGUUGGCCUGUAGACCCGUUGGUAAUGGCUAAUAGGGACGGUCGGGGGCAUUCGUAUUUCGCUGUCAGAGGUGAAAUUCUUGGAUUUGCGAAAGACGAACUACUGCGAAAGCAUUUGCCAAGGACGCUUUCAUUAGUCAAGGACGAAAGUCGSGGGAUCGAAGACGAUUAGAUACCGUCGUAGUCUCGACCAUAAACGAUGCCAAUUAGGGAUUGGAGGGCGSAUAGAUAUGCCUCCUCCAGCACCUUCCGCGAAAGCAAAAUUUAUGGGCUUCGGGGGGAGUAUGGUCGCAAGGCUGAAACUUAAAGGAAUUGACGGAACGGCACCACCAGGCGUGGAGCUGCGGCUUAAUUUGACUCAACACGGGAAAACUUACCAGGUCCAGACAGAAGUAGGAUUUACAGAUUGAUAGCUCUUUAAAGAUUUUUUGGAUGGUGGUGCAUGGCCGUUCUUAGUUCGUGGAUUGAUUUGUCAGGUUGAUUCCGGUAACGGACGAGACCCCAACCUACUAACUAGCUCUGCUUGAAUCUCAGGCAGCCAGCUUCUUAGAGGGACUCUCGGAAUGAAACCGAAGGAGGUGGGGCAAUAACAGGUCUGUGAUGCCCUUAGAUGUCCUGGGCCGCACGCGCGCUACACUGAUGCAUUCAACGAGCCAACCCUGUGCCGAGAGGUACGGGUAAUCUGCGAAAGUGCNUCGUGANNNNNNNAGAUUAUUGCAAUUAUUGAUCUUCAACGAGGAAUGCCUAGUAAGCGCGAGUCAUCAACUCGCUUGAUUACGNCCCUGCCGUUUGUACACACNGNNCNUCGCUCCUACCGAUUGGGUGUGCUGGUGAAAUGUUCGGAUUGGAUGGCCUUCCGUCAGGGGCAGUUUGAGAAGUUCAUUGAACCCUCUCACCUAGAGGAAGGAGAAGUCGUAACAAGGUCUCCGUAGUGAACCUGCGGAGGGAUCCAUAGC